rnacentral:rRNA from 1 species
AGCUGGUCUGAGAGGACGACCAGCCACACUGGAACUGAGACACGGUCCAGACUCCUACGGGAGGCAGCAGUGGGGAAUUUUGGACAAUGGGCGCAAGCCUGAUCCAGCAAUGCCGCGUGAGUGAAGAAGGCCUUCGGGUUGUAAAGCUCUUUUGUCAGGGAAGAAACGGUUCGGGCUAAUAUCCUGGGCUAAUGACGGUACCUGAAGAAUAAGCACCGGCUAACUACGUGCCAGCAGCCGCGGUAAUACGUAGGGUGCAAGCGUUAAUCGGAAUUACUGGGCGUAAAGCGUGCGCAGGCGGUUGUGCAAGACAGAUGUGAAAUCCCCGGGCUCAACCUGGGAAUUGCAUUUGUGACUGCACGGCUAGAGUGUGUCAGAGGGGGGUAGAAUUCCACGUGUAGCAGUGAAAUGCGUAGAGAUGUGGAGGAAUACCGAUGGCGAAGGCAGCCCCCUGGGAUAACACUGACGCCCAUGCACGAAAGCGUGGGGAGCAAACAGGAUUAGAUACCCUGGUAGUCCACGCCCUAAACGAUGUCUACUAGUUGUCGGGUCUUAAUUGACUUGGUAACGCAGCUAACGCGUGAAGUAGACCGCCUGGGGAGUACGGUCGCAAGAUUAAAACUCAAAGGAAUUGACGGGGACCCGCACAAGCGGUGGAUGAUGUGGAUUAAUUCGAUGCAACGCGAAAAACCUUACCUACCCUUGACAUGUCUGGAAUCCUUGAGAGAUCAGGGAGUGCUCGAAAGAGAAUCAGAACACAGGUGCUGCAUGGCUGUCGUCAGCUCGUGUCGUGAGAUGUUGGGUUAAGUCCCGCAACGAGCGCAACCCUUGUCAUUAGUUGCUACGAAAGGGCACUCUAAUGAGACUGCCGGUGACAAACCGGAGGAAGGUGGGGAUGACGUCAAGUCCUCAUGGCCCUUAUGGGUAGGGCUUCACACGUCAUACAAUGGUACAUACAGAGGGCCGCCAACCCGCGAGGGGGAGCUAAUCCCAGAAAGUGUAUCGUAGUCCGGAUUGUAGUCUGCAACUCGACUACAUGAAGUUGGAAUCGCUAGUAAUCGCGGAUCAGCAUGUCGCGGUGAAUACGUUCCCGGGUCUUGUACACACCGCCCGUCAUACCAUGGGAGCGGGUUUCACCAGAAGUGGGUAGCCUAACCGCAAGGAGGGCGCUCACCACGGUGGGAUUCGUGACUGGGGUGAAGUCGUAACAAGGUA